UAGAAUUAAUGAGUUUGGAAAUAGUUCUU
rnacentral:piRNA from 1 species